rnacentral:rRNA from 1 species
UACGUAGGGGGCUAGCGUUGUCCGGAUUUAUUGGGCGUAAAGAGCUCGUAGGCGGCUUGUUGCGUCGACCGUGAAAACCCGUGGCUUAACUGCGGGCUUGCGGUCGAUACGGGCGGGCUGGAGUUCGGUAGGGGAGACUGGAAUUCCUGGUGUAGCGGUGAAAUGCGCAGAUAUCAGGAGGAACACCGGUGGCGAAGGCGGGUCUCUGGGCCGAUACUGACGCUGAGGAGCGAAAGCGUGGGGAGCGAACAGG